CAGCUUCAGCACAGUGAACCUGCAGGUGCACACAAGUCAAGAAUUGAGGUUUGGGAACAUCCCCGUAGAUUUCAGAGGAUGUAUGGGAACACCUGGAUGUCCAGGCAGAAGUUUGCUGCAGGGGUAGAGCUCUCAUGGAGAACCUCUGCAAGGGCAGUGCAGCAGGGAAAUGUGGGGUUGGAGCCCCCACACAGAGUCCCCACUGGGGCACUGCCUAGUGGAGCUAUGAGAAGAGGGCCACCAUCAUCCAGACCCCAGAAUUGUAGGUCCACCAACCAUGCGCCUGGAAAAGUCACCGACACUCAAUGCCAACCCAUGAAGGAAGUCAGGAGGGGGCUGUACCCUGCAAAGCCAAAGAGGCCAAGCUGCCCAAGGCCAUGGGAGCCCACCUCUUGCAUCAGCAUGACCUGGAUGUGAGAGAUGGAGACAAAAGAGAGAUCAUUUUGGAGCUUUAAGAUUUCACUGCCCCACUGGAUUUUGGACUUGCAUGGGGCCUGUAGCCCCUUUGUUUUGGCAAAUUUCUCCCAUUUGGAAUGGGUAUAUUUACCCAAUGCCUGUACCCCCAUUGUAUCUAGGAAGUUACUAACUUUCUUUUGAUUUUACAGGCUCAUAGGCGGAAGGUGCUUGCCUUGUCUCAGAUGAGACUUUGGACUUGGGACUUUUGGGUUAAUGCUGGAAUGAGUUAAGACUUUGGGGGACUGUUGGAAAGGCAUGAUUGUAUUUUGAAAUGUAAGGACAUGAGAUUUGGGAGGAGCCAGGGGUGAAAUUAUAUGGUUUGGCUGUGUCCCCAUCCAAAUCUCAUCUUGAAUUGUAGUUCCCAUAAUCUCCACGUGUUGUGGGAGGGACCCAGUGGGAGGUAAUUGAAUCAUGUGGGCAGUUACCCCCAUGCUGCUGUUCUCAUGAUAGUGAGUGAGUUCUCAUGAGAUGUGAUGGUUUUAUAAGAGGCUUUUCUGCCUUUUGCUUGGCAUUUCUCCUUCCUAUCAUCCUGUGAAAGAGGAUAUGUUUGCUUCCCCUUCCACCAUGAUUUAAGUUUCCUGAGGCCUCAUCAGCCCUGCUGAACUGUGAGUCAAUUAAACCUCCUUCCUUUAUAAAUUAACCAGUCUUGGGUGUGUCUUUAUUAGCAGUGUGAGAAGGAACAAAUACAUUAACCCAGGCUUGAAAGCAAAGAGUCAUCUCUGAUGACUGCAUUCAACCUUUCCCUCAGCACCCACUGCUCACCCCUUCGCUCCUGCCUCAUUCUGUUAUCAGUCAUCACUAGGCCAGGAAAGCAUUCCUCCCACUUUCACACCCACCUCUUAUUUUCUCAUUCAGGACCUUUUUUAUUCAUACCAAAAACAUGUCAGUCACCUCCCAACUGAUCCCAGUCUCCUAUCUCUCUUACCCUUCAUUCUGUCCAACACACCAAGAGAAACAAGAAGGUAAAUAGUGAAAAGGUCUCCCUCACAUUCCCUUUCCCUAGCCACACAACUCUGAUCUCCAGCUUCCUGGGUAUCCAUUCGUAGUCACAGUAUGCCUAUUUUUAAGUGUGUGUACACACACAUACACAUAUUCCCCUUACUCAGGCAGAUUUGGUUUUACUUUACACUACAGUCUAAAGAAAUCAGAAUACUCUUGCUAGGAUGAUUGACAUCAGUCUUCAGUGUAAUCCUUCAUAUUAAAAACAUACAUCUGUAUGUAUAAGUUUUCAUUCUCACCAAUAUUCUAGCAUCAUUGUGGAUCUUAUAAUAAAAGUGAGAUUCCAUUGGAUUUUAUUAUGUCUACCUGUUCACUUCAGAAGAAAAGAUACUUACAGAUAUAGAAUCCUUCACUGUCCUUAGUCACAAAGUUUAAAACCUGCUCCAAUCUGAACAAGUUACACCCUAGGUCUGGUGAGCAACAGUUACCCUGAAGGGAUCUCCCAAUUCCUAUGUCCAUAUAGUUGUCUUUCUUGAUUUACCCCCUCACUUUGGUGGUGCAUAUCCUUCAGUAGCUUGAUCCAGCAGCUUUCUGAGAAAGGAUCUGUGGGAAAUAUAUUUAAUGAAAUUUUAUGUAUCUGAAAAUGUCUUUAUCUUACUUUCCUGCUUAACUAUUAAUAAUUUUGCUUGGUAUAAAAAUUUGGGUUGGAAAUUAUUUUCAUUGUCCAUAGUUUCCAGUGUUGCUCUUGAGAAAUCUACAAAUAUUCUGACUCCUUAUCUUUUUACAUGAAAGCUUUUAGAAUCUGCUCAGUGUUCUAAGAUUUUGUCAUGAAAUGCCUGUUUGUCCAUUGUGAUUAACACUCAGAUGGACUUUUCUUCUGGAAACUCAUGUCCUUUCCUCCAGGGAAAUUUUCCUGAAUUAUUUCAUUGAUUAUUUUUCCCCUCUAUUUCACUAGUCUCUCAUUUUAGAAUGUCAGAUUCCUGAAUGUUGAAUCUCCUAGACUGAUCCUC
rnacentral:lncRNA from 1 species